rnacentral:rRNA from 1 species
AGAGUUUGAUCCUGGCUCAGGACGAACGCUGGCGGCGUGCCUAAUACAUGCAAGUAGAACGCUGAAGGAGGAGCUUGCUUCUCUGGAUGAGUUGCGAACGGGUGAGUAACGCGUAGGUAACCUGCCUGGUAGCGGGGGAUAACUAUUGGAAACGAUAGCUAAUACCGCAUAAGAGUGGAUGUUGCAUGACAUUUGCUUAAAAGGUGCACUUGCAUCACUACCAGAUGGACCUGCGUUGUAUUAGCUAGUUGGUGGGGUAACGGCUCACCAAGGCGACGAUACAUAGCCGACCUGAGAGGGUGAUCGGCCACACUGGGACUGAGACACGGCCCAGACUCCUACGGGAGGCAGCAGUAGGGAAUCUUCGGCAAUGGACGGAAGUCUGACCGAGCAACGCCGCGUGAGUGAAGAAGGUUUUCGGAUCGUAAAGCUCUGUUGUAAGAGAAGAACGAGUGUGAGAGUGGAAAGUUCACACUGUGACGGUAUCUUACCAGAAAGGGACGGCUAACUACGUGCCAGCAGCCGCGGUAAUACGUAGGUCCCGAGCGUUGUCCGGAUUUAUUGGGCGUAAAGCGAGCGCAGGCGGUUAGAUAAGUCUGAAGUUAAAGGCUGUGGCUUAACCAUAGUAGGCUUUGGAAACUGUUUAACUUGAGUGCAAGAGGGGAGAGUGGAAUUCCAUGUGUAGCGGUGAAAUGCGUAGAUAUAUGGAGGAACACCGGUGGCGAAAGCGGCUCUCUGGCUUGUAACUGACGCUGAGGCUCGAAAGCGUGGGGAGCAAACAGGAUUAGAUACCCUGGUAGUCCACGCUGUAAACGAUGAGUGCUAGGUGUUAGACCCUUUCCGGGGUUUAGUGCCGUAGCUAACGCAUUAAGCACUCCGCCUGGGGAGUACGACCGCAAGGUUGAAACUCAAAGGAAUUGACGGGGGCCCGCACAAGCGGUGGAGCAUGUGGUUCAAUUCGAAGCAACGCGAAGAACCUUACCAGGUCUUGACAUCCCUCUGACCGCUCUAGAGAUAGAGCUUUCCUUCGGGACAGAGGUGACAGGUGGUGCAUGGUUGUCGUCAGCUCGUGUCGUGAGAUGUUGGGUUAAGUCCCGCAACGAGCGCAACCCCUAUUGUUAGUUGCCAUCAUUUAGUUGGGCACUCUAGCGAGACUGCCGGUAAUAAACCGGAGGAGGUGGGAUGACGUCAAAUCAUCAUGCCCCUUAUGACCUGGGCUACACACGUGCUACAAUGGCUGGUACAACGAGUCGCAAGCCGGUGACGGCAAGCUAAUCUCUUAAAGCCAGUCUCAGUUCGGAUUGUAGGCUGCAACUCGCCUACAUGAAGUCGGAAUCGCUAGUAAUCGCGGAUCAGCACGCCGCGGUGAAUACGUUCCCGGGCCUUGUACACACCGCCCGUCACACCACGAGAGUUUGUAACACCCGAAGUCGGUGAGGUAACCGUAAGGAGCCAGCCGCCUAAGGUGGGAUAGAUGAUUGGGGUGAAGUCGUAACAAGGUAGCCGUAUCGGAAGGUGCGGCUGGAUCACCU